UGAACUUAAAAUGCAGUCUAAGGGUUGUGCAGUGACGGAGAGUUGUAUAAAUGCAUCUUCUAACCUCGGAUUUACAAGGACAGUAACAUCUACACAAUGCUGUAACACAGACCUUUGUAAUAGCAAAGACGCCCCAGAUUACGGCUCUAACAGCCCCAAUGGAAAACGAUGUUACUACUGUGAUGAGAAGAGUUGCUUCAACAAAUUAAACUGUUUAGGAGAUGAAGACUACUGCGCUACAGCUACACAAACUGGUGAGUCUGUGACUCUUAAAGGAUGUACCUCUAAAUCUAUCUGUGAUGCUGCAACACAAGGGAAUGAAGAUUUCACGAGCUUCUCAUGUUGUCAGGGGAAUCUGUGUAACGGUGCUAAA